rnacentral:rRNA from 1 species
UACGUAGGGUGCGAGCGUUAAUCGGAAUUACUGGGCGUAAAGCGUGCGCAGGCGGUUCGUUGUGUCUGAUGUGAAAUCCCCGGGCUCAACCCGGGAACUGCAUUGGAAACUGGCGGACUUGAGUGUGGCAGAGGGGGGUGGAAUUCCGCGUGUAGCAGUGAAAUGCGUAGAUAUGCGGAGGAACACCGAUGGCGAAGGCAGCCCCCUGGGCCAACACUGACGCUCAGGCACGAAAGCGUGGGGAGCAAACAGG